CCUAACACAUGCAAGUCGUACGAGAAAGUCGGCUUCGGCCGAUGAGUAAAGUGGCGCACGGGUGAGUAAUGCGUGGAUAAUCUGCCCUUGAGUUCGGAAUAACGUACCGAAAGGUGCGCUAAUACCGGAUAAUACUGCACAACUACUGUUGUGUAGUCAAAGAUGGCCUCUGUUUACAAGCUUUUGCUGAAGGAUGAGUCCGCGUACCAUUAGCUAGUUGGUGGGGUAAUGGCCUACCAAAGCGACGAUGGUUAGCUGGUCUGAGAGGAUGAUCAGCCACACUGGAACUGAGACACGGUCCAGACUCCUACGGGAGGCAGCAGUGAGGAAUAUUGCGCAAUGGGGGCAACCCUGACGCAGCAACGCCGCGUGAGUGAGGAAGGUUUUCGGACCGUAAAGCUCUGUCGAGCGGGAAGAAAUGCAUGGUGGCUAAUAUUCAUCAUGCUUGACGGUACCGCUAGAGGAAGCACCGGCUAACUCCGUG
rnacentral:rRNA from 1 species